UACAGAGGGUGCGAGCGUUGUCCGGAAUCACUGGGCAUAAAGGGCGCGUAGGCGGCCUGAUAAGUAGGGGGUGAAAUCCUGCGGCUCAACCGCAGGGCUGCCUUCUAAACUGUCAGGCUGGAGCACGGUAGAGGCAGAUGGAAUUCCCGGUGUAGCGGUGGAAUGCGUAGAGAUCGGGAAGAACACCAGUGGCGAAGGCGGUCUGCUGGGCCGUUGCUGACGCUGAGGCGCGACAGCGUGGGAGCAACAGG
rnacentral:rRNA from 1 species